CAGCCGCCGCGGGAAUACAGAGGGUGCAAGCGUUAAUCGGAAUUACUGGGCGUAAAGCGCGCGUAGGUGGUUUGUUAAGUUGGAUGUGAAAUCCCCGGGCUCAACCUGGGAACUGCAUCCAAAACUGGCAGGCUAGAGUAGGGCAGAGGGUGGUGGAAUUUCCUGUGUAGCGGUGAAAUGCGUAGAUAUAGGAAGGAACACCAGUGGCGAAGGCGACCACCUGGGCUCAUACUGACACUGAGGUGCGAAAGCGUGGGGAGCAAACAGGAUUAGAUACCCGCGUAGUCCCUGUCUCUUAUAC
rnacentral:rRNA from 1 species